rnacentral:miRNA from 1 species
CGGAGCGGAGAAAGCAAACAGUG